rfam:Echinostoma caproni strain Egypt genome assembly, scaffold: ECPE_scaffold0010414
ACACUGCUGACGAGUCCCAAACAGGACGAAACAGCUGAUGUCCAGUGC